rnacentral:rRNA from 1 species
ACUUCCGGAAGGGGUGUAUUUAUUAGAUAAAAAACCAACGCGGCUCGCCGCUCCCUUGGUGAUUCAUAAUAACUUCUCGAUUCGCAUGGCCUUGUGCCGGCGAUGCUUCAUUCAAAUAUCUGCCCUAUCAACUUUCGAUGGUAGGAUAGCGGCCUACCAUGGUUUCAACGGGUAACGGGGAAUAAGGGUUCGAUUCCGGAGAGGGCGCCUGAGAAACGGCUACCACAUCCAAGGAAGGCAGCAGGCGCGCAAAUUACCCAAUCCCGACACGGGGAGGUAGUGACAAUAAAUAACAAUAUAGGGCUCUUUCGGGUCUUAUAAUUGGAAUGAGUACAAUUUUAAUCCCUUAACGAGGAACAAUUGGAGGGCAAGUCUGGUGCCAGCAGCCGCGGUAAUUCCAGCUCCAAUAGCGUAUAUUAAAGUUGUUGCAGUUUAAAAGCUCGUAGUUGAACUUCAGACCUGGCCGGGCGGUCCGCUUAACGGCGUGUACUGUCUGACUGGGCCUUACCUCUUGGUGAGCCGGCGUGCCCUUUAUUGGUGUGCGUCGGGGAACCAGGACUUUUACCUUGA